rnacentral:rRNA from 1 species
CGGAGGGUGCAAGCGUUAUCCGGAUUCACUGGGUUUAAAGGGUGCGUAGGCGGGCAGGUAAGUCAGUGGUGAAAUCCUUGAGCUUAACUCGAGAACUGCCAUUGAUACUAUCUGUCUUGAAUAUUGUGGAGGUAAGCGGAAUAUGUCAUGUAGCGGUGAAAUGCUUAGAUAUGACAUAGAACACCUAUUGCGAAGGCAGCUUACUACGCAUAUAUUGACGCUGAGGCACGAAAGCGUGGGGAUCAAACAGGAUUAGAUACCCUGGUAGUCCACGCCCUAAACGAUGACUACUCGACAUUUGUGAUACACUAUAAGUGUCUGAGCGAAAGCAUUAAGUAAUCCACCUGGGAAGUACGACCGCAAGGUUG